CCUACGGGAGGCAGCAGUGGGGAAUAUUGGGCAAUGGGCGCAAGCCUGACCCAGCAAUGCCGCGUGAAGGAAGAAGGCUUUCGGGUUGUAAACUUCUUUGACAGGGGAAGAGCAGAAGACGGUACCCUGAAAACAAGCCACGGCUAACUACGUGCCAGCAGCCGCGGUAAUACGUAGGUGGCAAGCGUUGUCCGGAUUUACUGGGUGUAAAGGGCGUGUAGCCGGGAAGGCAAGUCAGAUGUGAAAUCCGGAGGCUCAACCUCCGAAUUGCAUUUGAAACUGUUUUUCUUGAGUACUGGAGAGGCAGACGGAAUUCCUUGUGUAGCGGUGAAAUGCGUAGAUAUAAGGAGGAACACCAGUGGCGAAGGCGGUCUGCUGGACAGCAACUGACGGUGAGGCGCGAAAGCGUGGGGAGCAAACAGGAUUAGAUACCCGAGU
rnacentral:rRNA from 1 species